GAAUGUGUUUCCUCUGCAUAAGCAUACAGUGCAAUGCACAGCAAUAGUGAUCUCCCAAAUUAGAACACUUGCCACUUUAGGGAUUCCGGCCUUUAUUUUCAAGCCUCUCUGGAGCUGUGGAAGAAGGCUCAGUUAUGAAUCUCAGGAGAGUCCUCGAGGAACACUCAGAGAAUGAUAUUGACAGCUGGGGAGCAGCGAGGAAGCUGUUGUAGGCAUCCACGUGGAAGUCAAUUGACCUGAACAGGGAGAGUGGCCCAGAAACAGAAGCAAGCUGAUUCUCAGGACAUGCUUGCAUUGGUCAAGAGCAGGGAGACUGUCGGCUUCCAGUCUUUUGGCCUGGUGGAGAAAGAAGGAAGCCGAGGGUACAGCUGAGGGAAUGCCAAUGUCGCAGGAACAGGUGUUCAGAAAGAAAUUGCUCCGUGACGCUUUUUGCAGCUCAGUGAGGAAGACUAUUCAGGGCCAUCUCCAUAGGGUUAGGGACUACUGUAACAGGGUCCUGCAGCGCGGGAGAGAGACCGGACUCAACUCUUCAUACAGCCUGGGCAAGUGGGGAUUUAUAGUAAAGGAGCAGGUUUGGGUCAGUGGAUGGAAAAUGGCUGAGGAGACAUCAGGGGUCUCUGCCCCCUCUCCCCUCGCCAGGCUGUGGGAGCUGGAAAACAACAGCCCUGUCCGUUGGCAUCCACUGUAUCCCAGCACCCACUCUAUCCCAGCACCCGCUCUAUCCCAGCACCCACUGUAUCCCAGCACCCACUUCAUCCCAGCAC
rnacentral:lncRNA from 1 species